rnacentral:rRNA from 1 species
CCUACGGGUGGCAGCAGUAGGGAAUCUUUCACAAUGGGCGAAAGCCUGAUGCAGCAACGCCGCGUGCAGGAUGAAGGCCUUCGGGUUGUAAACUGCUUUUAUAAGCGAGAAAUAUGAUGGUAACUUAUGAAUAAGGAUCGGCUAACUACGUGCCACCCGCCGCGCUCAUAUGUAGGAGACGAGCAUUAUCCGGAGUGACUGGGUGUAAAGAGUUGCGUAGGUGGCAUAAUAAGUAGCUAGGGAAAUCUGGUGGCUCAACCAUUCAGACUAUUAGCUAAACUGUUAAGCUCGAGACCGUUAGGGGUAACUGGAAUUUCUAGGGUAGGAGUGAAAUCCGUAGAUAUUAGAAGGAACACCAAUAGCGUAGGCAGGUUGCUGGGACGGUUCUGACACUAAGGCACGAAAGCGUAGGGAGCAAACGGGAUUAGAUACCCUUGUAGUC